GCCUGGCGCUGAGGAAACCAGCGCCGCCGCCCUGAUCUCUCCCCACAGCCGCCCCGAUCUCUCCCCACCGCCGCCCCUCUCCCCCCACCACCGCCCUGGUCUCUCCCGAGGAGACCAGCGCCGCUGCCCCGAUCUCUCCCGAGGAGACCAGCGCCGCCACCCCGGUCUCUCCUCACCGCCGCCUGAGUUGCUCCCGCCACCGGCCGAUCUGACGCUGCCGCCUCCUCCUCCAGUUAUCCCCUCCACGGGCAGAGCUCCUACCCCAACUCUAAGAAGAGCCCGCAGCCCCUAGGCUAAUCUCGACGGUGAAGUAUCGUCGCUGCCAUAGCUUGCCAAGUUCUUCUAGCGCUCGGACGCGAGGUUGAGGACGCGAAGAAUUAGGUUAUGGAUCCAGCAGAUCGUAUUGCUGUCCGUUUUCAUUUCAAUGGGGAAUUUAUCAAUGAUGGGAAGACAAUACAGUAUGUGGGGGGCAAAGAAGCAAUGUCCUUUUUAGAUCGAGCAACCUUGAGCUUAUAGAGAAUUCAACAAUGUUUGACUGAGCAUUAUGUCACAAUGCACACCUGAUGGAGCAAGGAAUGUUAUGAACACAGACCCACAACACUGGAGCAGGGCUUGGUUCAGGUUAGGAAGUUGUUGUGAUUCUGUGGACAAUAACAUUUCUGAAACUUUUAACAAAUGGAUAGUUGAGGCUAGAUUAUAUCCUGUGAUAACAAUGUCCGAAACAAUUAGGCAGCAAAUUAUGAUCAGGAUACAUGAAAUGAGAAGUGAGAUGGAAAGUUGGACUGGCAUCAUCUGUCCAAAAGUACUGAAGAAGCUACAGAAAAGCAUAGAUUAUUCUGCUUAUUGUCAUGCAAUUUUUAAUGGCAAUGAUGCAUAUGAAGUGAAGACAAGAGUACAUAGGUACACUGUCAGAUUGCAUGACAGGACAUGUAUUUGUAGGUAUUGGCGGUUGUCAGGCCUUCCUUACUCUCAUGCCAUCAGCUGCAUACACUGCACUACAAACAAAUUGGAUGAUUACAUUGCUGAUUGCUACAGAGUGGAUAAUUUCAAAAAACUUAUGCUUAUUGUCUGCAACCUCUUGAGGGAAGAGAUGCAUGGCCUGUGUCUCAGAGAACAAAACCAAAAGCACCUGGGCACAUCAAUAUGCCUGGUAGGAAAAAGAAGUGUAGAACAAGAGAAGAGGAAGAAAAACCAAAGACUAGCAAAGUUAGCAAGGUUGGCAUAGUGAUCAAGUGUAGCUUGUGCAAGCAAAGUAGACACAACAAAAGAACUUGCAAACAAAGAAAUGGAGUGCCUAGUGCUAGUGCUCCAUCUGCUUUUGCUCCUAGUGGUACUGCUCCACUUUCUGCUACUCCUAGUGCUCCUAGGGAAGUGCUCGUCCACCAAGUGAAGCACCUAUUCUGAGUUCACAACAAAGCACUUCACACAAAAGAAGGGCCACCGAGGAGAUGGCACCACCAAGACAAGCAAAGAGAAGGGCGCCAAGUAAUAACAACAGUAGGUCAAAUAAUUUCUCUGGAAAUACCUUCAAUGUACAUGGAAGCUCGAAUGUGAAUGUCAAUGUUUGCACUGGUACUUCUCGCGCGACAACUAGCAGCAAAGUUACCAAAGAGAGGAGCAGUAGCAAUGGCAGUAACAAAGGCAAGGGGAUUGGCAAGGCCAAAUAUGCUCGGUUUCGAAGCUUGCUGGGACUUGAAAAUUGAGAGUUAUUUGUGUGCUUGUGAGGUUUGGGUGUCGAUCAGACCUAUCUAUGUGAGACAUAUGUGUCAGACCUAUUUGUGAGACCUUUGUGUGUAUCAGACCUAUCUAUAUGUAUGUGAGACCUAUGUAUGUGUGUUUCAGACCUAUAUAUAUGUAUGUGUGACCAGUUUUGUUCAA